UACAGAGGGGGCAAGCGUUGUUCGGAAUUACUGGGCGUAAAGGGCGCGUAGGCGGCCGACUCAGUCAGACGUGAAAUCCCCUGGCUCAACCAGGGAACUGCGUCUGAUACUGGAUGGCUUGAGUUCGGGAGAGGGAAGUGGAAUUCCAGGUGUAGCGGUGAAAUGCGUAGAUAUCUGGAGGAACACCGGUGGCGAAGGCGGCUUCCUGGACCGACACUGACGCUGAGGCGCGAAAGCCAGGGGAGCAAACGGG
rnacentral:rRNA from 1 species